rnacentral:rRNA from 1 species
CAGUAGCCGCGGUAAUACGAAGGGGGCUAGCGUUGCUCGGAAUCACUGGGCGUAAAGCGCACGUAGGCGGAUGUUUAAGUCAGAGGUGAAAGCCUGGAGCUCAACUCCAGAACUGCCUUUGAUACUGGGCAUCUUGAGUCCGGAAGAGGUAAGUGGAACUGCGAGUGUAGAGGUGAAAUUCGUAGAUAUUCGCAAGAACACCAGUGGCGAAGGCGGCUUACUGGUCCGGUACUGACGCUGAGGUGCGAAAGCGCGGGGAGCAAACAGGAUUAGAGACCCCAGUAGUCCCUGUCUCUUAUAC